AAGCGCCUAUGACCAGACUUGAGCCCGGUGAAUCAUCCAGCGUUCUCGCUGGUGCACGUUGCCGGGCACAGGCCAGCAUCAGUUUGGCGCGGGGGAUAAAGGCUUUGGGAAUGUGGCUCCCUCGGGAGUGUUAUAGCCCAUUGCGCAAUACCCUGCGCCGGACUGAGGUACGCGCAUUCGCAAGGAUGCUGGCGUAAUGGUCAUCAGCGA
rnacentral:rRNA from 1 species